rnacentral:tRNA from 1 species
GCACUGGUAGUUCAGUGGUAGUAUUCUCACCUUCCACGUAGGAGUAUUAGGUUCAAUUCCUGACCAGUACA